rnacentral:rRNA from 1 species
UACGGAGGAUGCAAGCGUUAUCCGGAAUGAUUGGGCGUAAAGCGUCCGCAGGUGGCUAUUCAAGUCUGCGGUCAAAGACUGGGGCUUAACCCUGGAAAGGCCGUGGAAACUGAAGAGCUAGAGUGCAGUAGGGGUAGAGGGAAUUCCCGGUGUAGCGGUGAAAUGCGUAGAGCUCGGGAAGAACAUCGGUGGCGAAAGCGCUCUGCUGGACUGCAACUGACACUCAGGGACGAAAGCUAGGGAGCGAAUGGG